GGUUAAGCGACUAAGCGUACACGGUGGAUGCNNNNNNNNNCAGAGGCGAUGAAGGACGUGCUAAUCUGCGAUAAGCGUCGGUAAGGUGAUAUGAACCGUUAUAACCGGCGAUUUCCGAAUGGGGAAACCCAGUGUGUUUCGACACACUAUCAUUAACUGAAUCCAUAGGUUAAUGAGGCGAACCGGGGGAACUGAAACAUCUAAGUACCCCGAGGAAAAGAAAUCAACCGAGAUUCCCCCAGUAGCGGCGAGCGAACGGGGAGGAGCCCAGAGCCUGAAUCAGUGUGUGUGUUAGUGGAAGCGUCUGGAAAGGCGCGCGAUACAGGGUGACAGCCCCGUACACAAAAAUGCACAUGCUGUGAGCUCGAUGAGUAGGGCGGGACACGUGGUAUCCUGUCUGAAUAUGGGGGGACCAUCCUCCAAGGCUAAAUACUCCUGACUGACCGAUAGUGAACCAGUACCGUGAGGGAAAGGCGAAAAGAACCCCGGCGAGGGGAGUGAAAAAGAACCUGAAACCGUGUACGUACAAGCAGUGGGAGCACGCUUAGGCGUGUGACUGCGUACCUUUUGUAUAAUGGGUCAGCGACUUAUAUUCUGUAGCAAGGUUAACCGAAUAGGGGAGCCGAAGGGAAACCGAGUCUUAACUGGGCGUUAAGUUGCAGGGUAUAGACCCGAAACCCGGUGAUCUAGCCAUGGGCAGGUUGAAGGUUGGGUAACACUAACUGGAGGACCGAACCGACUAAUGUUGAAAAAUUAGCGGAUGACUUGUGGCUGGGGGUGAAAGGCCAAUCAAACCGGGAGAUAGCUGGUUCUCCCCGAAAGCUAUUUAGGUAGCGCCUCGUGAAUUCAUCUCCGGGGGUAGAGCACUGUUUCGGCAAGGGGGUCAUCCCGACUUACCAACCCGAUGCAAACUGCGAAUACCGGAGAAUGUUAUCACGGGAGACACACGGCGGGUGCUAACGUCCGUCGUGAAGAGGGAAACAACCCAGACCGCCAGCUAAGGUCCCAAAGUCAUGGUUAAGUGGGAAACGAUGUGGGAAGGCCCAGACAGCCAGGAUGUUGGCUUAGAAGCAGCCAUCAUUUAAAGAAAGCGUAAUAGCUCACUGGUCGAGUCGGCCUGCGCGGAAGAUGUAACGGGGCUAAACCAUGCACCGAAGCUGCGGCAGNNNNNNNNNNNNNNUGUUGGGUAGGGGAGCGUUCUGUAAGCCUGUGAAGGUGUGCUGUGAGGCAUGCUGGAGGUAUCAGAAGUGCGAAUGCUGACAUAAGUAACGAUAAAGCGGGUGAAAAGCCCGCUCGCCGGAAGACCAAGGGUUCCUGUCCAACGUUAAUCGGGGCAGGGUGAGUCGACCCCUAAGGCGAGGCCGAAAGGCGUAGUCGAUGGGAAACAGGUUAAUAUUCCUGUACUUGGUGUUACUGCGAAGGGGGGACGGAGAAGGCUAUGUUGGCCGGGCGACGGUUGUCCCGGUUUAAGCGUGUAGGCUGGUUUUCCAGGCAAAUCCGGAAAAUCAAGGCUGAGGCGUGAUGACGAGGCACUACGGUGCUGAAGCAACAAAUGCCCUGCUUCCAGGAAAAGCCUCUAAGCAUCAGGUAACAUCAAAUCGUACCCCAAACCGACACAGGUGGUCAGGUAGAGAAUACCAAGGCGCUUGAGAGAACUCGGGUGAAGGAACUAGGCAAAAUGGUGCCGUAACUUCGGGAGAAGGCACGCUGAUAUGUAGGUGAAGUCCCUCGCGGAUGGAGCUGAAAUCAGUCGAAGAUACCAGCUGGCUGCAACUGUUUAUUAAAAACACAGCACUGUGCAAACACGAAAGUGGACGUAUACGGUGUGACGCCUGCCCGGUGCCGGAAGGUUAAUUGAUGGGGUUAGCCGCAAGGCGAAGCUCUUGAUCGAAGCCCCGGUAAACGGCGGCCGUAACUAUAACGGUCCUAAGGUAGCGAAAUUCCUUGUCGGGUAAGUUCCGACCUGCACGAAUGGCGUAAUGAUGGCCAGGCUGUCUCCACCCGAGACUCAGUGAAAUUGAACUCGCUGUGAAGAUGCAGUGUACCCGCGGCAAGACGGAAAGACCCCGUGAACCUUUACUAUAGCUUGACACUGAACAUUGAGCCUUGAUGUGUAGGAUAGGUGGGAGNNNNNNNNNNNNNNNNNNNNNNNNNNNNNNNNNNNNNNNNNNNNNNNNNNNNNNNNNNNNNNNNNNNNNNNNNNNNNNNCCGUAAUCCGGGUUGCGGACAGUGUCUGGUGGGUAGUUUGACUGGGGCGGUCUCCUCCUAAAGAGUAACGGAGGAGCACGAAGGUUGGCUAAUCCUGGUCGGACAUCAGGAGGUUAGUGCAAUGGCAUAAGCCAGCUUGACUGCGAGCGUGACGGCGCGAGCAGGUGCGAAAGCAGGUCAUAGUGAUCCGGUGGUUCUGAAUGGAAGGGCCAUCGCUCAACGGAUAAAAGGUACUCCGGGGAUAACAGGCUGAUACCGCCCAAGAGUUCAUAUCGACGGCGGUGUUUGGCACCUCGAUGUCGGCUCAUCACAUCCUGGGGCUGAAGUAGGUCCCAAGGGUAUGGCUGUUCGCCAUUUAAAGUGGUACGCGAGCUGGGUUUAGAACGUCGUGAGACAGUUCGGUCCCUAUCUGCCGUGGGCGCUGGAGAACUGAGGGGGGCUGCUCCUAGUACGAGAGGACCGGAGUGGACGCAUCACUGGUGUUCGGGUUGUCAUGCCAAUGGCACUGCCCGGUAGCUAAAUGCGGAAGAGAUAAGUGCUGAAAGCAUCUAAGCACGAAACUUGCCCCGAGAUGAGUUCUCCCUGACUCCUUGAGAGUCCUGAAGGAACGUUGAAGACGACGACGUUGAUAGGCCGGGUGUGUAAGCGCAGCGAUGCGUUGAGCUAACCGGUACUAAUGAACCGUGAGGCUUAACCUU
rnacentral:rRNA from 1 species